rnacentral:rRNA from 1 species
AUUGAACGCUGGCGGCAGGCCUAACACAUGCAAGUCGAGCGGAUGACGGGAGCUUGCUCCUCGAUUCAGCGGCGGACGGGUGAGUAAUACCUAGGAAUCUGCCUGAUAGUGGGGGACAACGUUUCGAAAGGAACGCUAAUACCGCAUACGUCCUACGGGAGAAAGCAGGGGACCUUCGGGCCUUGCGCUAUCAGAUGAGCCUAGGUCGGAUUAGCUUGUUGGUGAGGUAAUGGCUCACCAAGGCGACGAUCCGUAACUGGUCUGAGAGGAUGAUCAGUCACACUGGAACUGAGACACGGUCCAGACUCCUACGGGAGGCAGCAGUGGGGAAUAUUGGACAAUGGGCGAAAGCCUGAUCCAGCCAUGCCGCGUGUGUGAAGAAGGUCUUCGGAUUGUAAAGCACUUUAAGUUGGGAGGAAGGGUUGUAGAUUAAUACUCUGCAAUUUUGACGUUACCGACAGAAUAAGCACCGGCUAACUCUGUGCCAGCCGCCGCCGUAAGAC